CGCACCUCCACCUCUCUCUCUCUCUCUCUCUCUCUCUCUCUCUCUCUCUCUCUCUCUCUGAUUUUUCCAAAUUUUCUCCUUUCAAGUGCCCUCUCUCAUUCCCAUUUCUUUCCCCCUUUUCUCUCCGUCUAAAUUUCUGAUCAUCCCCUUUUCUUAUUCUAGGGUUAGGUUUUUUAUUUCCCAUUUCCCAUUUUCGAUCUUUUCUUCCUCUCUCUUCUAUGUAAGAGGGAAAGCGUCGGUGUUGACAGUGAUUCCAUCAAUGGGGGCGAUUCGAGUGUCAGCAACAAGUUUGUAGAGGUUGAGGAGGAAAUGUGACCAUUAAAGAAGGAAGCCCUAGUGAAAUUCCACUAGAGAGGAUGGCUCACAGUUCCUUGUGAUGUUGAAGAAACUCCAAUUAUAAAUGUUGGCUGUUAGCGAUCCUCUUUGCCCUAUGGAGCUGUGAAAGGGGAUGAUAGAGCAUCAAAAACUGCGAUCCUUGCUAGCCUGUUGGCAUUUGCAGGAGUGGCCAUCUUGGGUUCAAGCUUAUGCUGCUAUAAAUGCAGGAGGAAGACACAGCAAGAAGGUAAACUUCUACCCGAGAGUCGUAAAAUCAUGUAAAUGCUUAGGUCCUAUUUGGUGAAUGGCUAAAAAUGAUUUCAUCUCAUUUUAGUUAACAAUAUUUAAGUAUUGACUUUUUGUUGCUUUCAACUUCUACCCGCUUACACACAUGUUAGACUUGUAACUUUUAUGUUGCUACUUUGAUGGGAUACAGUGGAUACAUGGCUCCUGAGUAUGCAAUGGCAAGGUUGUUUUCAGUGAAGUCUGAUGUGUUUAGCUUCGGCGUCUUACUGCUAGAGAUUGUAAGUGGGAAAAAGAACAUCAAUCUACAUUUCCCCAAAGAUGCCCAGAGCCUUGUCACUUAUGCAUGGACACUAUGGUGUGAAGGAAAGUGCUUGGAAUUGAUCAAUCCAUUGAUCGCAGAGGCAUGCCCCACUGAAGAUGUGCUGAGAUGCAUCCAUAUUGGGCUAUUGUGCGUUCAAGAAGAUGCAGCAAAUUAGGAGGUCAGUUCGCAUUCAUGGUGGGUUCCUUCUGAUGAAUGGUCCAUAUAUUCGCACAUGCCAUGUUGACACAUGUGCUGCAAAUCUCCUUAUGGAUCUUCUUGCAUGAAUCACCUUGGCAUUUCUCAAGCUUUUCAAGGCAUGUAGGGGUGGUUCCUGAGAAGUGCUUAGUUGCAAUGGUCGCAUGCUUGAGAAAUCAGCUCCAGUUGCUACCAUUACCACCUUCCAAAAAUUUAAGUGUAGUUCACAUCUCACUGGGUAUUUCACAAUGAACAAUUUCUGCUCUAAUACCCAUCACUACCCACUUCUUUAAUAAGCCUUUGGUUCAUCCCUUUUAACAGGUGGAUGGCUUAGAAAUUGUGUUGAUGAUGGUCCCAACUAUUCAACAGUAUAGAUCACCUAGCUUUGGACUACCCCUGUACCAAUCAGGCUCGUGAGAAGUUUCUAUCAUUGAGGAAAGGUACAAAGUCGGAUGUUGUUGCUGUCUUAGAAGAGAUAGAAAUAUUAAUUUAGUAAUAGGCAUAUUUCAGGACCUCCACAUUGCAAGGUCUUCAUUUGAGCAGGUUCGCUUCACCCUAGUCACAGUUCUUUCUAAUGUCGAGGCCAAGAAGAGGUUUGAGUUUUUGGAAGCUGUUAGUGGGGCAAUGGAUGCUCACCUUAUUCAUUAUUUCAAACAAGGAUAUGAGCUAUUGCAUCAGAUGGA